UGUAGUCAUAUGCUUGUCUCAAAGAUUAAGCCAUGCAUGUCUAAGUACUUGCCGAAAUAAGGUGAAACCGCGAAUGGCUCAUUAAAUCAGUUACGGUUCUAUAGAUAUUGACUAUCUACAUGGAUAACUGUGGUAAUUCUAGAGCUAAUACAUGCACAAAAGCCCUGACCGCGAGGAAGGGGCGCAUUUAUUAGAACAAGACCAAUGGGGCUCCUUGUGGGUCCUUAAGUUGGUGACUCUGGAUAACUUCAGCUGAUCGCACGGCCUCCGAGCCGGCGACGAAUCUUUCAAGUGUCUGCCUAUCAACUGUCGAUGUAGUAGGCCUACU
rnacentral:rRNA from 1 species